UACGUAGGGGGCAAGCGUUGUCCGGAUUUAUUGGGCGUAAAGAGCUCGUAGGCGGCUCGGUAAGUCGGAUGUGAAAACUCGGGGCUCAACCCCGAGACGCCAUCCGAUACUGCUGUGGCUUGAGUCUGGUAGGGGAGAACGGAAUUCCUGGUGUAGCGGUGAAAUGCGCAGAUAUCAGGAGGAACACCUAUUGCGAAGGCAGCUCGCUGGGACGUUACUGACGCUGAGACGCGAAAGCGUGGGGAGCAAACAGG
rnacentral:rRNA from 1 species